GACGAACGCUGGCGGCGUGCUUAACACAUGCAAGUCGAACGGAAAGGCCCUGCUUUUGUGGGGUGCUCGAGUGGCGAACGGGUGAGUAACACGUGAGUAACCUGCCCUUGACUUUGGGAUAACUUCAGGAAACUGGGGCUAAUACCGGAUAGGAGCUCCUGCUGCAUGGUGGGGGUUGGAAAGUUUCGGCGGUUGGGGAUGGACUCGCGGCUUAUCAGCUUGUUGGCGGGGUAGUGGCUUACCAAGGGUUUGACGGGUAGCCGGCCUGAGAGGGUGAACGGCGACAUUGGGACUAAGAUACGGCCCAGAGUCCUACAGGAGGCAGUAGUGGGGAAUAUUGCACAAUGGGCGGAAGCCUGAUACGGCAACGCCGCGUGCGGGAUGACGGCCUUCGGGUUGUGAACCGCUUUCGCCUGUGACGAAGCGUGAGUGACGGUAAUGGGUAAAGAAGCACCGGCUAACUACGUG
rnacentral:rRNA from 1 species